rnacentral:rRNA from 1 species
GUGGGGAAUUUUGGACAAUGGGCGAAAGCCUGAUCCAGCCAUGCCGCGUGCAGGAUGAAGGCCUUCGGGUUGUAAACUGCUUUUGUACGGAACGAAAAGACUCCUUCUAAUAAAGGGGGUCCAUGACGGUACCGUAAGAAUAAGCACCGGCUAACUACGUGCCAGCAGCCGCGGUAAUACGUAGGGUGCAAGCGUUAAUCGGAAUUACUGGGCGUAAAGCGUGCGCAGGCGGUUAUAUAAGACAGAUGUGAAAUCCCCGGGCUCAACCUGGGAACUGCAUUUGUGACUGUAUAGCUAGAGUACGGUAGAGGGGGAUGGAAAUCCGCGUGUAGCAGUGAAAUGCGUAGAUAUGCGGAGGAACACCGAUGGCGAAGGCAAUCCCCUGGACCUGUACUGACGCUCAUGCACGAAAGCGUGGGGAGCAAACAGGAUUAGAAACCCGGGUAGUCC